AGAUUUUACCAUUCCUCACCCCAAGAGGCAAAACAUUUUUACAGAUAAUCAUAACAUAAGAACUAGAGAGGCUUCACUAUUCUUCAUCCCAAAAGGCAAUAUUUACAAGUCAUCAUAACACAAGAACAAGAGAGGUUUCACCAUUCUUCAUCCCAAAGGGCAAUAUUCACAUGUCAUUAUAACACAAGAACAAGAGAGGUUUCACCAUUCUUCAUCCCAAAGGGCAAUAUUCACAAGCCAUAACACAAGAAGUAGAGAGGUUUCACCAUUCUUCAUCACAAAGGGCAGUAUUCACAUGUCAUUAUAAUACAAGAACAAGAGAGGUUUCACCAUUCUUCAUC